rnacentral:rRNA from 1 species
CCUACGGGAGGCUGCAGUGAGGAAUAUUGGUCAAUGGGCGAGAGCCUGAACCAGCCAAGUCGCGUGAAGGAUGACGGCCCUACGGGUUGUAAACUUCUUUUGUCAGGGAGCAAUUGGGUCCACGCGUGGGCUUAGCGAGAGUACCUGACGAAAAAGCAUCGGCUCACUUCGUGCCCGCAGCCGCGGUAAUACGGAGGAUGCGAGCGUUAUCCGGAUUUGUUGGGUUUAAAGGGUGCGUAGGCGGAAAAUCAAGUCAGCGGUAAAAAUUCGGGGCUAAACCCCGUCGUGACGUUGAAACUGAUGUUCUGGAGUGGGCGAGAAGUAUGUGGAAGUCGGGGUGUAGCGGUGAAAUGCAUAGAGAUCACGCAGAACUCCGAUUGCGAAGGCAGCAUACCGGCGCCCAACUGACGCUGAAGCACGAAAGCGUGGGUAUCGAACAGGAUUAGAUACCCGAGUAGUC